rnacentral:rRNA from 1 species
AGUGAACGCUGGCGGUAGGCCUAACACAUGCAAGUCGAACGGCAGCACAGUAAGAGCUUGCUCUUACGGGUGGCGAGUGGCGGACGGGUGAGGAAUACAUCGGAAUCUACUUUUUCGUGGGGGAUAACGUAGGGAAACUUACGCUAAUACCGCAUACGACCUACGGGUGAAAGCAGGGGAUCUUCGGACCUUGCGCGAUUGAAUGAGCCGAUGUCGGUUUAGCUAGUUGGCGGGGUAAAGGCCCACCAAGGCGACGAUCCGUAGCUGGUCUGAGAGGAUGAGCAGCAACACUAGAACUGGGAAACGGUCCAGAGUCCUACGGGAGGCAGCAGUGGGGAAUAUUGGACAAUGGGAGCAAGCCUGAUCCAGCCAUACCGCGUGGGUGAAGAAGGCCUUCGGGUUGUAAAGCCCUUUUGUUGGGAAAGAAAAGCAGCAGGUUAAUACCCCGCUGUUCUGACGGUACCCAAAGAAUAAGCACCGGCUAACUUCGUG